AGUUUACAAAAAGUUGGGCCUUGAAAAUCUCAUUAAGCACGAACGUCAGCGUAAACUUAUCAUAAUAUGACGUAGAUGCGAAGGGUAGUGCGCGGGGGUACUACUCAAAGUCGCAAAAGCUGAACAGGGAACACAUAACGCACACAUAUGUAAAGACAAUCAUUUUAAGCUAUAUAUGCAAUAACAUGGCUUCGUAAUAAUGUUGGGAUUCAUAGCCCUCCAAGCUCGAUUCCCCCAAUCGAGCCACACUAAUUUACCCACCACUGGGAAUAUUUAUGAAGUAUCCGAACUGUUCAAGUUAUUUAUUUACGUAGAUUACAUAGAGUC